UACAUGAGUGCUACAUGAGGCCAAGGCUCCUGCUGCUUCUGGGAUUUGCUCCUGUGUGUUCUGGGACAAGGCCUCUACCAGGAAUUCCCACUUGUUCGAGGGCCAGCUCUCGAAAUCUAGUCUAGACACCCUAACGAGGUGGAGGAUGUAAUUACACCUUGAAACACUCUGUGUACCAGUAACCCAGCUUCUCAUGUGUGUGACUCAAGCUCCAAGAGGGUUGUGAGGAUUCACUGGAUUAAUUUAUGUAAGCAUAUGUAAAGCUUAGAACACUGGCAGGCACACAGAAAGCUCUGCAUGGAUU